rnacentral:rRNA from 1 species
UACAGAGGGGGCAAGCGUUAUUCGGAAUUAUUGGGCGUAAAGGGCGCGUAGGCGGCGAUUCAAGUGACGGGUGAAAUCCCUCGGCUUAACCGAGGAACUGCCUGUCAGACUGGAUUGCUUGAGGCCGGGAGAGGCGAGUGGAAUUCCCAGUGUAGCGGUGAAAUGCGUAGAUAUUGGGAGGAACACCAGUGGCGAAGGCGGCUCGCUGGACCGGUUCUGACGCUGAGGCGCGAAAGCGUGGGGAGCAAACAGGG